AGACGGUGGAUGCCUUGGCUCUCGGAGGCGAUGAAGGACGUGAUAAGCUGCGAUAAGCUUGGGGUAGGUGCAAAUAACCUUUGAUCCCAAGAUUUCCGAAUGGGGCAACCCGGCUGGUAGAAGGCCAGUCAUUCCGUAAGGAAAGCGAACGUGGGGAACUGAAACAUCUAAGUACCCAUAGGAGAAGAAAACAAAAGUGAUUCCGCAAGUAGUGGCGAGCGAACGCGGAACAGCCCAAACCGAUGUUGUUUAGGCAAUAUCGGGGUUGUAGGACCACGCCAUGGCAAGCGAUUAAGGAAGUAGAACGUUUUGGAAAAAACGGCCGUAGACGGUGAAAGCCCAGUAUACGACUCUUUAAUGAAGCCUAGUGGUAUCCUGAGUAGCGCGGAGCACGAGAAAUUCUGUGUGAACCAGCGGGGCCCAUCCCGUAAGGCUAAAUACUCCCGAGAGACCGAUAGCGAACCAGUACUGUGAAGGAAAGGUGAAAAGCACCUCGAACAGAGGAGUGAAAUAGUCCCUGAAACCGUCUGCCUACAAGCGGUCGGAGCAAUCUUUUGGUUGUGACGGCGUGCCUUUUGCAUAAUGAACCUACGAGUUACUUUCUCCGGCAAGGUUAAGGACUUCAGGUCCGGAGCCGAAGCGAAAGCGAGUCUUAAAAGGGCGGUAUAGUCGGAGUGAGUAGACGCGAAACCAAGUGAUCUACCCUUGGUCAGGAUGAAGGUUGGGUAACACCAACUGGAGGUCCGAAUGGGUAUACGUUGAAAAGUGUUCCAAUGAACUGAGGGUAGGGGUGAAAGGCUAAUCAAACUUGGAGAUAGCUCGUACUCCCCGAAAUGCAUUUAGGUGCAGCCUUUAUAUAGUAUAUAAUGAGGUAGAGCGACUGAUUGGAUGCGAGGGCUUCACCGCCUAUCAAGUCCAGAUAAACUCCGAAUGCGUUAUAUAUAUUUAUAAGGAGUGAGGGCGCGGGUGCUAAGGUCCGCGUCCGAGAGGAGAAGAAUCCAGACCAUCAGCUAAGGUCCCCAAAUAACAGUUAAGUUGAACUAACGAAGUCAGACUGCAGAGACAGCUAGGAUGUUGGCUUGGAAGCAGCCAUUCAUUUAAAGAGUGCGUAACAGCUCACUAGUCGAGGAGUCUGGCGUGGAUAAUACUCGGGCAUAAACUGUUUACCGAAGCUAUGGAUCUCGUAUGAGAUGGUAGGGGAGCAUUCUAUGUACGUCGAAGGUGAGGGAUGACCCUUGCUGGAGUGCAUAGAAAAGCAAAUGUAGGUAUAAGUAACGAUAAAGGAGGUGAGAAACCUCCUCGCCGAAAGACUAAGGUUUCCUGAUCAACGUUAAUCGGAUCAGGGUAAGUCGGGACCUAAGGAUAAGCCGAACGGCGAUUCCGAUGGAAGAAUGGUUUAAUAUUCCCAUACUACUUUAUGGAGCGAUGUGGAGACGGAGAAGUGACAGUCCUGCCAUCUGACGGAAUAGAUGGUUAAAGGGUGUAGAUGUAGAUCGAAGUAGGCAAAUCCGCUUUGAGAGUCGAACCUGACAGUAUGCCGCGUACUUGUACAAGGCAAUAUGGACGUAAUCAGGCUCCCUAGAAAAUCCGCUAAGCAAAUUCAUAAAGUACCCGUACCGUAAACGGACACACGUAGUUGGGUUGAAAAUACUGAGGCGCUCGAGUGAUUCACGGUUAAGGAACUAGGCAAAUUGACCCUGUAACUUCGGGAUAAAGGGUCCCUGCAGAGAUGUGGGGCGCAGAGAAUAGGUCCAGGCAACUGUUUAACAAAAACACAUGGCUGUGCGAAAUAGAAAUAUGAAGUAUACAGCCUGACACCUGCCCGGUGCUGGAAGGUUAAGAGGAGAACUCAUCGCAAGAGAAGGUUUGAAUUGAAGCCCCAGUAAACGGCGGCCGUAACUAUAACGGUCCUAAGGUAGCGAAAUUCCUUGUCGGGUAAGUUCCGACCUGCACGAAUGGUGUAAUGAUCUGGACACUGUCUCAACCGUGAGCUCGGUGAAAUUGUAGUAU
rnacentral:rRNA from 1 species